CCUACAUGCUGCGUAACCAGAAUCACACAUAUGCAGCUCCCUCUUUGUUCACUCAGACUUUAUUGUAUCCGAUUCAGAAAUGAAGUUGUCCUUCUCCUCCAGUGCUUCUCUCUUUCUUGUCAUCCUCAACCAUGGUUUCAUUCAGUUCAGUGAAGCACAAGGGCAGCCAGGAAAACCAAUCAUUAAAGUCAAUCAGGCUUCUGGAGAUGGGAUAGUGUAUAUCCUCUGCUCGUUUAGCCAGGAAACUAAUAAAACUAUCAGCUGUUAUCUGUACACUGGAGACACACCUGAGCCCUUCAGUUCAACAUGGACUAAAGGGGGAAAGGUCUGUAAUUUUUACAUACAUAAUACUGACCUACAGAAGCAUUUAGAGUCUCCAUUCAGCAGGGAGCUGAGCUGUGAUUACACUGUGAACACAAAGCCACCGACUCG